GUUAAACAAGUGCUUGAAGGCAGUAUGCUUGGUAAAAGUCAUCGCCAUUCUCUAAUCUUGAGUACCCAGGGACACGAUACACUGCGGAAGGCUGCAGGGACCUCUGCCCAGGAAAGCCAGGCUUGCAUGAAGGAAAUGAUUUCCUAUGAUUCUGCUUACUGCUUAAAAAAAUUAAUCAAGUUUUCUGCCUGACAAGAUCCAGUAUCUGCCGGAGGAGCCCCACCUUCUGCUACUAUUAUGUUCUUCAGAUGAGUAGAAGAGAGUGGGGAGGGAGAGAGCAGGAAGAAGAAAGGAAGAAUAAUGUCUUGAAAUUGUUUUCUAAGGAUAAUGGUCUCCAGCUUCGUCAAUGUUCCUGCAAAGGACAUGAUGCUGACUUUGAAGAUGCAAGCUUCCACAUCUACAGCCUCAAGGAAACAAAUUCAGCCAACCAACUGAGGGAGCUUUCCUUGUCCUGCCUCAAGAUGAGAUCACAGUCUGCCCAACACCAUGAUUUAGGCCUUGUGACACCUGGUAUGGAAGACCCAGUUAAGUUCUCUCCAAACUCUUGACCCACAGAACCUGUGAGAAAAUAUAUGGAUAUUAUUUUAAACUGCUAAAUUUGUAGUAAUUUGUUAUGCAGCAAUAAAAAAAACUAAUGCAAGGAGAUAUCAAUUAUUGUAAAAAGCUUAGCUUUUGUUUUAAAAUAUAGUUCACCAGUAGUAAGUUACUAAUAAGUAACUAAACAAAUAAAAGCAAGCCAUUUACAAAUCAAUAAUAAGAGUAAGUCAUGAACUAAAGAUUGUAAUUAAUCAAUUUCUGUACGCCUGUAAUGAAAAUAAAGGAGGAAAAGAA
rnacentral:lncRNA from 1 species